AGAGUUUGAUCCUGGCUCAGAACGAACGCAGGCGGCAGGCCUAACACAUGCAAGUCGAACGCAUCUCUUCGGAGGUGAGUGGCGCACGGGUGAGUAACGCGUGGGAACCUGCCUUGGGGUUGGGAAUAACGGAUGGAAACGUCCGCUAAUACCCGAUACGCCCUUAGGGGGAAAGAUUUAUUGCCCUGGGAGGGGCCCGCGUUGGAUUAGCUAGUUGGUGUGGUAAGAGCGCACCAAGGCAUCGAUCCAUAGCUGGUCUGAGAGGAUGAUCAGCCACACUGGGACUGAGACACGGCCCAGACUCCUACGGGGGGCAGCAGUGGGGAAUUUUGGACAAUGGGCGAAAGCCUGAUCCAGCAAUGUCGCGUGCAGGAUGAAGGCCUUCGGGUUGUAGACUGCUUUUGUACGGAACGAAAAAGCUUCUCCUAAUACGAGAGGCCCAUGACGGUACCGUAAGAAUAAGCGCCGGCUAACUACGUGCCAGCAGCCGCGGUAAU
rnacentral:rRNA from 1 species